rnacentral:rRNA from 1 species
UGUGUUUACUGUUUGCUUGGACCAUUCUUUUGGUUCAUUCUUAGUUCCCUUAACCGGGGGCUCUGAGUGACCCACGAGUUUACUUUGAAAAAAUUGGAGUGCUUAAAGCAGGGGCUACAGCCUGAACACUAGUGCAUGGAAUAAUGGAAUAGGAUCUCGAUUCUAUUUCGUUGGCUUUCGGAGUCGAGGUAAUGAUUAAUAGGGACAGACGGGGGCAUUCGUACUGCGACGUUAGAGGUGAAAUUCUUGGAUCGUCUCAAGACCAACUACUGCGAAAGCAUUUGCCAAGAAUGUUUUCAUUAAUCAAGAACGAAAGUUAGAGGUUCGAAGGCGAUCAGAUACCGCCCUAGUUCUAACCAUAAACUAUGUCGACCGGCGAUCCGUAGUCGUUAACUUUAAUGACUCGACCGGCAGCCUCCGGGAAACCAGAGUGUUUGGAUUCCAGGGGGAGUAUGGUUGCAAAGCUGAAACUUAAAGGAAUUGACGGAAGGGCACCACCAGGAGUGGAGCCUGCGGCUUAAUUUGACUCAACACGGGAAAUCUCACCAGGCCCGGACACCGGAAGGAAUGACAGAUUGAGAGCUCUUUCUUGAUCCGGUGGGUGGUGGUGCAUGGCCGUUUUUAGUUGGGGGAGCGAUUUGUCUGGUUAAUUUCGAUAACGAACGAGACUCUGGCCUACUAACAAGACAUGUGAUCCUUUAUGGGUUUGAUGUAGUUUCUGAGAGGGACGGGCGG